rnacentral:lncRNA from 1 species
UUUUCUUUCUUUUCUUUUAAAAUCAUCAACUUUCUUAUACAUAAUAUUUCCAUUCUCCAAUAUACCAAAAAAACUCGCAUCAAAGGCACCUUCAUCUCGCGAGAGUACCUCCUCUUUUGUACCUCCAUAAUCUCGCUUUACAGUGGUACCUCCCCAAAAUCCUUAAAUCCUUCAACAAUCUUUGGCAAUGGUUUCUCCCUCAACCUAUCUCGAUUCCGUUCAUGGUU